GGGUUGGUUGACAGAAGGGAGCUUAGCACCCCCCCCUUCCCCUUGUCAAGGAUGGACUAGGAUGCACAGCCUUUACAACACAUAUAUGCCACCUACCUUGUGGUAUCUCUACAAAAGUUUUAU